rnacentral:rRNA from 1 species
UCGUUGAACUUCGAGAUGGUAGAUGGGCGGCGUUUGAAAUUAAAUUGGGAGAUGACAUAGAUUUGAAAAAUGCUAAAAAGAAUCUUAAAAGGUUAAAAGAGAAAAUUAAUCAGUUUAAAUUAAAGCAACUUGUAUCUUUAAAUAUCAUUACUGGGGGUCGACAUUCUUUUUCAGAAGAUGAUAUCAACGUGAUUGCACUUUCUCAUUUAUUCUUUCAAUAAAUUCAAUCAUCUACCAGUUGGUACAAACGUGCUACAAUGGUCGGUACAAACUGUUACCAACUCGCAAGAGGGAGCUAAUCAGAAAAAGCCGAUCUCAGUUCGGAUCGAGGGCUGCAAUUUGUCCUCAUGAAGUUGGAAUCACUAGUAAUCGCGAAUAAGUCAUGUCGUGGUGAAUGCGUUCUCGGGUCUUGUACACACCGCCCGUCAAACUAUGAGAGCCGUUAAUACCUAAAACCGUUUUGCUAA